AUUAGCGACCACAGUGGCAGGGAAACACCUGGUCUCAUCUCGAACCCAGAAGUUAAGCCUGCUACGAUUAAGUUCGCGCUGGGUUUUUACUUGGAGCGGCUGGUUGUUGCUAAUC
rnacentral:rRNA from 2 species